rnacentral:rRNA from 1 species
GGAUCCAGACUUUGAUCAUGGCUCAGGAUGAACGCUAGCUACAGGCUUAACACAUGCAAGUCGAGGGGAAACGAUAUUGGAAGCUUGCUUCCGAUAGGCGUCGACCGGCGCACGGGUGAGUAACGCGUAUCCAACCUGCCCAUCACUUGGGGAUAACCUUGCGAAAGUAAGACUAAUACCCAAUGACGUCCAUAGAAGACAUCUGAAGUGGAUUAAAGAUUUAUCGGUGACGGAUGGGGAUGCGUCUGAUUAGCUUGUUGGCGGGGUAACGGCCCACCAAGGCGACGAUCAGUAGGGGUUCUGAGAGGAAGGUCCCCCACAUUGGAACUGAGACACGGUCCAAACUCCUACGGGAGGCAGCAGUGAGGAAUAUUGGUCAAUGGACGAGAGUCUGAACCAGCCAAGUAGCGUGCAGGAAGACGGCCCUAUGGGUUGUAAACUGCUUUUAUAAGGGAAUAAAGUGAGUCUCGUGAGACUUUUUGCAUGUACCUUAUGAAUAAGGACCGGCUAAUUCCGUGCCAGCAGCCGCGGUAAUACGGAAGGUCCGGGCGUUAUCCGGAUUUAUUGGGUUUAAAGGGAGCGUAGGCCGGAGAUUAAGCGUGUUGUGAAAUGUAGACGCUCAACGUCUGCACUGCAGCGCGAACUGGUUUCCUUGAGUACGCACAAAGUGGGCGGAAUUCGUGGUGUAGCGGUGAAAUGCUUAGAUAUCACGAAGAACUCCGAUUGCGAAGGCAGCUCACUGGAGCGCAACUGACGCUGAAGCUCGAAAGUGCGGGUAUCGAACAGGAUUAGAUACCCUGGUAGUCCGCACGGUAAACGAUGGAUGCCCGCUGUUGGUCUGAAUAGGUCAGCGGCCAAGCGAAAGCAUUAAGCAUCCCACCUGGGGAGUACGCCGGCAACGGUGCAACUCAAAUGAAUUGACGG